GGCAAGACACCAUCUUCAAUUCCAGUUACAUAAACGCCACAACUGUUCCAGAGGAUAUGUGGGAUUAUCUGGGACAAAAAUAGUUCUGGUGCUUUCUCAUUUGAACCUCAUUAUUUACAGACAGAUGCUCUACUUUUGAUUCUGAAGUGAACCCACUCACUUACGCCGAUAAUUCUUGCAGCAAAAAUGUAUUAAUCAGAAUACCAUAUUGCUCGAGUGGCGUCGUAAAAUCCAAAACAAAAUUAAUUUGGCAAUAAUCACUCUACUUUCAAAGCAACACAAAAAGACACUUCAUCAAUCGUUUCAUUUUAACAAAAAGUGCAAAAGGGACGAUAAGAAUUCCAGUUGGAUGGUUAUAUUUUUUUCUACCAACCACAUCGACUUCACAAAUCAUUCUGUACAUUAUAUUCAAAGUGCAAUUAUUGUGAAUUGGCAUGAGCUGGUACUUACAGAAGGGUGUCCGGUCGGGUGAACUGUCCAUUGGCACACCAUUCACACAGGACACUACUUUAAAAAUGAUUACCUAGAAUUCCCCCUAAUAUUGGCUAAACCCGUCACCUUAACCUGUUCGAAUCAUGCAAAACAUGCACAACCAGACGACUUGUUGAAUCUGUAGCCUGCAUUUUCCCGUUUGGCAAAAGUUUAAACUGUAUUACCUCAUGUUUUCAUCACUUAACUAAUUAACUGCAGCUAUUUUAAGACUAGGCCUGUCACAACAACUACUAUACAACUUAUUGUUCCAACUUUCAUAUAAGGAACGCUAUGUUUUUGGGGUCAGUAUUUAUCAGUGUGUACAUUUUCUUUUCAGUACUGGGAAAGACAGGAGGUUGAAUUAAUAAAUUUUAUGACUCAUUACAGAUGCAAACCAAGUACUAAAGUGUUUUAUUUUGCUGUUUAUUUAAUGCAAAUCAUGAUUUUUAACAAUAUUCUAGCUUUAGAAUAGUUUUUGUGGUGUAAAUCUGCUUUCGUUUAUUGACUAUAUUCAUUUUGCGAUAUGUCAAGCUUCAAAAUACGUCAUCGUGCCAGGCCUAAAAAUCAAGUUUACCAAUAUUGCAUAAAUGCGUUGUAAUUUCACAGCACCAAAACCCCAUUUCAAUGUUUUUUAAAAUAAAGAACUAGAUAAACUGUUGCUGUCUAAAUACUGGUAUGCACAUAUUUGGCGUUGUUGAACUAAACCUAAAAAUUCCACUGAUGCAUAGGUCAAACUCGAGUUAUUUUUGAUCUGUAGCGAUAUUGUCACUUCUGUUUAUAGCCCUGUCUAAACCAAACACGGUUAAAAAAACACCAUCAUUCGCUGUGUGUCAUAUGUUAACUGCAUAUAUUUAAAUUCGCAAAGCAACUGCGGACUACUGUAGAAAUGAAUCGUAAUCGCUAUGGCCCAAGCGUGAGACGUUAAGGGUUUUGAUCAUUCGAAACUAAGACACUCACACAGCAUCAUAUACAUAUUAAUAAAUGUAAUGUAAGAUCGAUUGGGAAAGUUGAAAACACAUCCGGAGAUUGGCUCAAGUCAAAGUUAAGUCGUGCCGUGGUUUUUAAAUGUUGUUUUCUUCUUGUCUGCUCCUCGCAGGUUAUAUGAGGGAAAUGGAAGAAUGGACAGAAACCUGAAAGCAGAAACGAGGUCUAUAUAUAACACCGGGUCUAUAUAUAAACACUACAGCCAAGCCCACAAUUCUUCAUGUGUCAGAGGUAUGAAUCAGGGCUGUGCAAU
ensembl:lncRNA